rnacentral:rRNA from 1 species
GUCGAACGAUGAUGCUCCAGCUUGCUGGGGUGGAUUAGUGGCGAACGGGUGAGUAACACGUGAGUAACCUGCCCUUCACUUUGGGAUAAGCCUUGGAAACGGGGUCUAAUACCGGGUAUACACAUUCUGCCGCAUGGUGGUGUGUGGAAAGCUUUUGUGGUGAGGGAUGGACUCGCGGCCUAUCAGCUUGAUGGUGGGGUAGUGGCCUACCAUGGCUUUGACGGGUAGCCGGCCUGAGAGGGUGACCGGCCACACUGGGACUGAGACACGGCCCAGACUCCUACGGGAGGCAGCAGUGGGGAAUAUUGCACAAUGGGCGGAAGCCUGAUGCAGCGACGCCGCGUGGGGGAUGAAGGCUUUCGGGUCGUAAACUCCUUUCAGCAGGGACGAAGCUUUUUGUGACGGUACCUGCAGAAGAAGCACCGGCUAACUACGUGCCAGCAGCCGCGGUAAUACGUAGGGUGCGAGCGUUGUCCGGAAUUAUUGGGCGUAAAGAGCUUGUAGGCGGUUUGUCGCGUCUGCCGUGAAAGCCCAGGGCUUAACCCUGGGUCUGCGGUGGGUACGGGCAGACUAGAGUGUGGUAGGG